GCAGCAGCAAAGGCAGUAACAACCAGGUCUUGUUCCUCCCCUUCAUAAUAAAAGGCAAAAGUGACUCAUACAAGAUGUAGGGGAGGAGAAAAUGAGUCCACAUGGAUCUUUGGCUUCAUCUCUACGAACAACAGGAGGGAGAGAGAGCAACAGGCACAAAAGCGACAGAGAAGAACGGGUUACACAGAGAGGACCUGGCGACACGAUUUGCAUAAGGCCCGCCUCCUCUCCGCAACUUUGGACAUCGAUUGGUUCAGCUGGCACCGAGUGACAGGCG